GACGGACGCUGGCGGCGUGCUUAACACAUGCAAGUCGAACGGAAAGGCCUGCUUUCCCUUGUGGAUUGCGGGUACUCGAGUGGCGAACGGGUGAGUAACACGUGAGUGAUCUGCCCCCAACUUGGGUAUAAGCCUGGGAAACUGGGUCUAAUUCCCGAUAGGACUGCAGGGUGGUGCCUGUGGUGGAAAACGAUUUUCUAGUGGUUGGGGAUGAGCUCGCGGCCUAUCAGCUUGUUGGUGGGGUAAUGGCCUACCAAGGCGGCGACGGGUAGCCGGCCUGAGAGGGUGGACGGCCACAUUGGGACUGAGAUACGGCCCAGACUCCUACGGGAGGCAGCAGUGGGGAAUAGUGCACAAUGGGCGGAAGCCUGAUGCAGCGACGCCGCGUGGGGGAUGACGGCCUUCGGGUUGUAAACUCCUUUCGACCGCGAGGAAGCCACCUGGUUGGAAGGGUGGUGACGGUAGUGGUAGAAGAAGCACCGGCUAACUACGUG
rnacentral:rRNA from 1 species